UUAUAAUCAAAAUGUUAUAGCUACAUGUAUAUCAAUGAUGACAUUAUAUCAUUUAGUCCAUAUAUGUGAUUUGUUUGAAGUAAGUGUAUUUUUCAAGAGUUCAAGCUGUAGACAUGGUCUUUUCGAAAAUUUCAGCAUUUCAGUAGUCAAAACCACUGCAUACUUGAAAGAAAUUUGGUUGUAUUUAAUUUAUUUUGGUUGUAUUUAUACUUUUGAUUAAUCAGAGUUUCAUUUUCAUUCUAGUUACGUUAUUUUAAAUGAUUGGAAGGAAAUAUAAAAUUAAUCGAAU
rnacentral:lncRNA from 1 species